rnacentral:rRNA from 1 species
UACGUAGGGGCCCAGCGUUGUCCGGAUUCAUUGGGCGUAAAGCGCGCGCAGGCGGCCCGGUGUGCCGCCCGUGAAAUCCCCCGGCUCAACCGGGGGGGGUCGGGCGGGACUGCCGGGCUGGAGGCGGGUAGGGGAGAGCGGAAUUCCCGGUGUAGUGGUGGAAUGCGUAGAGAUCGGGAGGAACACCAGUGGCGAAGGCGGCUCUCUGGACCCUAGCCUGACGCUGAGGCGCGAAAGCGUGGGGAGCGAU